ACUCUAAGGAGACUGCCGGUGACAAACCGGAGGAAGGUGGGGAUGACGUCAAGUCAUCAUGGCCCUUACGGCCUGGGCUACACACGUGCUACAAUGGUCGGUACAGAGGGUUGCCAAGCCGCGAGGUGGAGCUAAUCCCACAAAACCGAUCGUAGUCCGGAUCGCAGUCUGCAACUCGACUGCGUGAAGUCGGAAUCGCUAGUAAUCGCGAAUCAGAAUGUCGCGGUGAAUACGUUCCCGGGCCUUGUACACACCGCCCGUCACACCAUGGGAGUGGGUUGCACCAGAAGUAGCUAGUCUAACCUUCGGGGGGACGGUUACCACGGUGUGAUUCAUGACUGGGGUGAAGUCGUAACAAGGUAGCCGUAGGGGAACCUGCGGCUGGAUCACC
rnacentral:rRNA from 1 species